rnacentral:rRNA from 1 species
GACGAACGCUGGCGGCGUGCUUAACACAUGCAAGUCGAACGGAAAGGCCCUGCUUUUGUGGGGUGCUCGAGUGGCGAACGGGUGAGUAACACGUGAGUAACCUGCCCUUGACUUUGGGAUAACUUCAGGAAACUGGGGCUAAUACCGGAUAGGAGCUCCUGCUGCAUGGUGGGGGUUGGAAAGUUUCGGCGGUUGGGGAUGGACUCGCGGCUUAUCAGCUUGUUGGUGGGGUAGGGGCUUACCAAGGCUUUGACGGGUAGCCGGCCUGAGAGGGUGACCGGCCACAUUGGGACUGAGAUACGGCCCAGACUCCUACGGGAGGCAGCAGUGGGGAAUAUUGCACAAUGGGCGGAAGCCUGAUGCAGCAACGCCGCGUGCGGGAUGACGGCCUUCGGGUUGUAAACCGCUUUCGCCUGUGACGAAGCGUGAGUGACGGUAAUGGGUAAAGAAGCGCCGGCUAACUACGUGCCAGCAGCCGCGGUGAUACGUAGGGUGCGAGCGUUGUCCGGAUUUAUUGGGCGUAAAGGGCUCGUAGGUGGUUGAUCGCGUCGGAAGUGUAAUCUUGGGGCUUAACCCUGAGCGUGCUUUCGAUACGGGUUGACUUGAGGAAGGUAGGGGAGAAUGGAAUUCCUGGUGGAGCGGUGGAAUGCGCAGAUAUCAGGAGGAACACCAGUGGCGAAGGCGGUUCUCUGGGCCUUUCCUGACGCUGAGGAGCGAAAGCGUGGGGAGCGAACAGGCUUAGAUACCCUGGUAGUCCACGCUGUAAACGGUGGGUACUAGGUGUGGGGUCCAUUCCACGGGUUCCGUGCCGUAGCUAACGCUUUAAGUACCCCGCCUGGGGAGUACGGCCGCAAGGCUAAAACUCAAAGGAAUUGACGGGGCCCCGCACAAGCGGCGGAGCAUGCGGAUUAAUUCGAUGCAACGCGUAGAACCUUACCUGGGUUUGACAUGGAUCGGGAGCGCUCAGAGAUGGGUGUGCCUCUUUUGGGGUCGGUUCACAGGUGGUGCAUGGCUGUCGUCAGCUCGUGUCGUGAGAUGUUGGGUUAAGUCCCGCAACGAGCGCAACCCUUGUUCACUGUUGCCAGCACGUUAUGGUGGGGACUCAGUGGAGACCGCCGGGGUCAACUCGGAGGAAGGUGGGGAUGACGUCAAGUCAUCAUGCCCCUUAUGUCCAGGGCUUCACGCAUGCUACAAUGGCUGGUACAGAGAGUGGCGAGCCUGUGAGGGUGAGCGAAUCUCGGAAAGCCGGUCUCAGUUCGGAUUGGGGUCUGCAACUCGACCUCAUGAAGUCGGAGUCGCUAGUAAUCGCAGAUCAGCAACGCUGCGGUGAAUACGUUCCCGGG